GGAGAGAUGUCCGAGCGGUUGAAGGAGCACGCCUGGAAAGCGUGUGUAGGGGAAACUCUACCAGGAGUUCGAAUCUCCUUCUCUCCGCCA
rnacentral:tRNA from 1 species